rnacentral:lncRNA from 1 species
GCAAUGGGUUAAAUUGAAGUUCACAUGAAUACGGAUUUAAUGAGGUCGACUAAUUCACUUGCAAGUGAAUGAGUAAUUAUCAAUGUUUCUUCGCUUAAUUUGACAAAAUUGAACCAUUUUGGAUACUAAAAGCGAAUUAUUAUUUCACUAUUUCACUUUCAUUAUUGAUUGAACAAAAAAAAAUCUUACUUUAGUUUUUUAUAUAUCUCGUAGCUAGUGCCCCUUUAACG